rnacentral:rRNA from 1 species
CCUACGGGAGGCAGCAGUGAGGAAUAUUGGUCAAUGGACGAGAGUCUGAACCAGCCAAGUAGCGUGAAGGAUGACUGCCCUAUGGGUUGUAAACUUCUUUUAUCAAGGAAUAAAACGAGGCACGUGUGCCUUUUUGCAUGUACUUUAUGAAUAAGGAUCGGCGAACGCCGUGCCAGCAGCCGCGGUAAUACGGAGGAUCCGAGCGUUAUCCGGAUUUUUUGGGGUUAAAGGGAGCGUAGAUGGGUUGUUAAGUCAGUUGUGAAAGUUUGCGGCUCAAACGUAAAAUUGCAAUUGAUACUGGCAGUCUUGAGUACAGUUGAGGUAGGCGGAAUUCGUGGUGUAGCGGUGAAAUGCGUAGAGAUCACGAAGAACCCCGAUUGCGAAGGCAGCUUACUAAACUGUGACUGACAUUGAUGCUCGAAAGUGUGGGUAUCAAACAGGAUUAGAUACCCUUGUAGUC